CCCUUAGAUGUUCUGGGCCGCACGCGCGCUACACUGAACAGUUCAACAAGUCUUAACCUUGGCCGAUAGGUCUGGGUAAUCUUUGAACGCUGUUCGUGAUUGGGAUAGACCUUUGCAAUUAUGGGUCUUCAACGAGGAAUUCCUAGUAAACGCAGGUCAUCAGCUUGCAUUGAUUACGUCCCUGCCCUUUGUACACACCGCCCGUCGCACCUACCGAUUGAAUGGUCCGGUGAAAUCUCGGGACGGCGGCUUGGUCGCUUGCGUCCGACUGCUGAAACUUGAUUAAACCAUAUCAUUUAGAGGAAGGUGAAGUCGUAACA
rnacentral:rRNA from 1 species